GAUGAAGAACGCAGCGAAAUGCGAUACGUAAUGUGAAUUGCAGAAUUCAGUGAAUCAUCGAAUCUUUGAACGCAUAUUGCGCUCUCUGGUAUUCCGGAGAGCAUGCUUGUUUGAGUAUCAGUAAACACCUCAACUUCCAUAUCUUUUUUGAAAUGGGAGUUGGACUUGAGUGAUCCCAACGCUUUUCCUCACCGAAAAGUGGCGGGUUACUUGAAAUGCAGGUGCAGCUGGACUUUUCUCUGAGCUAUAAGCAUAUCUAUUUAGUCUGCCUAAAAAACAGAUUAUUACCUUUGCUGCAGCUAACAUAAAGGAGAUUAGUUCUUGUGCUGACUGAUGCAGGAUACACAAAGACAGGCUUCGGCCGACUUUGUAAACUCGAUCUCAAAUCAAGUAAGACUACCCGCUGAACUUAAGCAUAUCAAUAAGCGGAGGA
rnacentral:misc_RNA from 1 species